UACGUAGGGGGCAAGCGUUGUCCGGAAUUAUUGGGCGUAAAGAGCGUGUAGGCGGUCCGGUAAGUCAGCUGUGAAAGUCAAGGGCUCAACCCUUGAAUGCCGGUUGAUACUGUCGGGCUAGAGUCCGGAAGAGGAGUGUGGAAUUCCUGGUGUAGCGGUGAAAUGCGCAGAUAUCAGGAAGAACACCUAUGGCGAAGGCAGCACUCUGGGACGGUACUGACGCUGAGACGCGAAAGCGUGGGGAGCGAACAGG
rnacentral:rRNA from 1 species